UACGGAGGGUGCAAGCGUUAUCCGGAUUUACUGGGUUUAAAGGGUGCGUAGGUGGGCAGGUAAGUCAGUGGUGAAAUCUCCGAGCUUAACUCGGAAACUGCCAUUGAUACUAUCUGUCUUGAAUUAUCUGGAGGUGAGCGGAAUAUGUCAUGUAGCGGUGAAAUGCUUAGAUAUGACAUAGAACACCAAUUGCGAAGGCAGCUCACUACGGAUAUAUUGACACUGAGGCACGAAAGCGUGGGGAUCAA
rnacentral:rRNA from 1 species